rnacentral:misc_RNA from 1 species
AAGUCGUAACAAGGUUUCCGUAGGUGAACCUGCGGAAGGAUCAUUAACACGUAUCCAACGUUAAAACAACCCUGUGAACCUUCAAUCUUGCUCGCGUGGCUCCAUGAAAGCAGCAAUCCCUGGUAAAUCAUUCGACCAGAUUUUUGAGUCAGGGACCUCUGCCGAUGAGAGUUACGCUCGUAGCGAUGCAAGCGACCUCCCAAGCAAGCGUCUUUGAUUGUGUAAGGGUGGCGCAAACACGAUCGUUGGAGGCCGGCACGGCCGCCCGGGACCAUGCCCUUAAUCACCACACUGUAACGCCGACAGGUCGCAAUAAUUCCGCUGACCACAAAAAACCGAACAACUGUUAACAAUGGAUAUCUUGGUUCUC